GCCAUGGGCGUCGGCCUCCUGUGCUACCUGGCCUCCUGUCUCCUACCCUCAGGUCUGGUGAAUGCUGUCAUCACUCAAACCCCCAAAUUCCAGGUUCUGAAAACAGGUCAGAAAGUGACAUUGCAGUGUGCCCAGGAUUUGAACCACAAGACUAUGUACUGGUAUCGACAAGUCCCAGGCCACGGCCCGAAGCUGAUCCAUUACUCGGUCGGUGUUGGGUUCAUCGGCAAAGGAGAGGUCCCCGAUGGGUACAGGGUUAGUAGAUCCAGUACCAGGGACUUCCCCCUCACGCUGGAGUCGGCCACCCCGUCCCAGACAUCUGUGUACUUCUGCGCAAGCACUGAAUCCACAGCGCUGCACAGCUGA